rnacentral:rRNA from 1 species
CUGGUUGAUCCUGCCAGUAGUCAUAUGCUUGUCUCAAAGAUUAAGCCAUGCAUGUCUAAGUAUAAGUUCUUUACUGCGAAACUGUGAAUGGCUCAUUAUAACAGUUAUUAUUUCCUAGCCGGUCAGUCAUUCCUUGGAUACCCAUGGUAAUUCUAGAGCUAAUACAUGCUUACAAACCCGACUUUACGGAAGGGUUGCGCUUAUUAGAUACCGAACCAACCCAGGAUUUUCCUGGUUUUUGUUGAUUCAUAGUGUUCUGGCGAAUCGACUCGCAAGAGUCGAUGAGGCUAUCAAGUUUCUGACCUAUCAGCUUCCGACGGUAGGAUAUUGGCCUACCGUGGCUUUGACGGGUAACGGAGAAUUAGGGUUCGAUUCCGGAGAGGGAGCCUGAGAAACAGCUACCACAUCUAAGGAAGGCAGCAGGCGCGUAAAUUACCCAAUCCUGACACAGGGAGGUAGUGACAAGAAAUAUCAAUAUAAGACUUUUUUGUCUUGCUAUUGGGAUGAGCGAAACAUAAACCGCUUCUCGAGUAUCAAUUGGAGGGCAAGUCUGGUAAUCGAAUUCCCGCGGCC